rnacentral:rRNA from 1 species
GACGAACGCUGGCGGCGUGCCUAAUACAUGCAAGUCGAACGCAGUGGGGACGGGUGAGUAACACGUGGGUAACCUCCCAUCAGAGGGGAUAACACUUGGAAACAGGUGCUAAAACGAUACUGAUGGAUGGACCCGUGGUGCAUUAGCUAGUGGUGGAGGUAACGGCUCACCAAGGCCACGAUGCAUAGACGACCUGAGAGGGUGAUCCGCCACACUGGGACUGAGACACGGCCCAGACUCCUACGGGAGGCAGCAGUAGGGAAUCUUCGGCAAUGGACGAAAGUCUGACCGAGCAACGCCGCGUGAGUGAAGAAGGUUUUCGGAUCGUAAAACUCUGUUGUUUGAGAAGCGGUAUCUAACCAGUAAGCCACGGCUAACUACGUGCCAGCAGCCGCGGUAAUAC